CCUACGGGUGGCAGCAGUGGGGAAUAUUGCGCAAUGGGGGCAACCCUGAUGCAGCAACGCCGCGUGAGCGAUGAAGGCCUUCGGGUCGUAAAGCUCUGUCCUAAGGGAAGAAUACUGACGGUACCUUAGGAGGAAGCCCCGGCUAACUACGUGCCAGCAGCCGCGGUAAUACGUAGGGGGCGAGCGUUAUCCGGAAUGACUGGGCGUAAAGGGUGCGUAGGCGGCCCUUCAAGUCAGGGGUGAAAGCCUACGGCUCAACCGUAGUCAGCCGUUGAAACUGUAGGGCUUGAGUGCAGGAGAGGAGAGCGGAAUUCCUAGUGUAGCGGUGAAAUGCGUAGAUAUUAGGAGGAACACCAGUGGCGAAGGCGGCUCUCUGGACUGUAACUGACGCUGAGGCACGAAAGCGUGGGGAGCGAACAGGAUUAGAUACCCUAGUAGUC
rnacentral:rRNA from 1 species